CGGACGGGUGAGUAAUGUCUGGGAAACUGCCCGAUGGAGGGGGAUAACUACUGGAAACGGUAGCUAAUACCGCAUAACGUCGCAAGACCAAAGAGGGGGACCUUCGGGCCUCUUGCCAUCGGAUGUGCCCAGAUGGGAUUAGCUAGUAGGUGGGGUGACGGCUCACCUAGGCGACGAUCCCUAGCUGGUCUGAGAGGAUGACCAGCCACACUGGAACUGAGACACGGUCCAG
rnacentral:rRNA from 1 species